AAUCCGUCAACUUUAAAAAUCGUGAGGGUUCAAGUCCCUCUAUCCCCAAAAAG
rnacentral:tRNA from 1 species